UCUCCGUUGGUGAACCAGCGGAGGGAUCAUUACAGAGUUGAAAAACUCCCAAACCAUUGUGAACGUUACCUAUCCCGUUGCUUCGGCGGGCGGCCCGGGCCCCGCGCCCGGCGCCCCCCGGCCCCCCGUGGGCGCCCGCCUGAGGUAAACCAAACCCUUGAAUUGCUUGGCCACUCUGAGUCUUCUGUACUGAAUAAGUCAAAACUUUCAACAACGGAUCUCUUGGUUCUG
rnacentral:misc_RNA from 1 species